CAGCAGCCGCGGUAACACGAAGGGUGCAAGCGUUACUCGGAAUUACUGGGCGUAAAGCGUGCGUAGGUGGUGGUUUAAGUCCGUUGUGAAAGCCCUGGGCUCAACCUGGGAAUUGCAGUGGAUACUGGGUCACUAGAGUGUGGUAGAGGAUAGUGGAAUUUCCGGUGUAGCAGUGAAAUGCGUAGAGAUCGGAAGGAACAUCUGUGGCGAAGGCGACUAUCUGGGCCAACACUGACACUGAGGCACGAAAGCGUGGGGAGCAAACAGGAUUAGAUACCCCCGUAGUCCCUGUCUCUUAUAU
rnacentral:rRNA from 1 species